CCUUCUCAAACAUUCUGUUUGGUAGUGAGUGAUACUCUUUGGAGUUAACUUGAAAUUGCUGGCCUUUUCAUUGGAUGUUUUUUUUCCAAAGAGAGGUUUCUCUGCGUGCUUGAGGUAUAAUGCAAGUACGGUCGUUUUAGGUUUUACCAACUGCGGCUAAUCUUUUUUUAUACUGAGCGUAUUGGAACGUUAUCGAUAAGAAGAGAGCGUCUAGGCGAACAAUGUUCUUAAA
ensembl:rRNA Non-coding region between RDN58 and RDN25; transcribed as part of the 35S rRNA precursor transcript; forms a stem-loop structure required for processing of the precursor transcript